rnacentral:rRNA from 1 species
GACGAACGCUGGCGGCGUGCUUAACACAUGCAAGUCGAACGGAAAGGCCCUGCUUUUGUGGGGUGCUCGAGUGGCGAACGGGUGAGUAACACGUGAGUAACCUGCCCUUGACUUUGGGAUAACUUCAGGAAACUGGGGCUGAUACCGGAUAGGAGCUCCUGCUGCAUGGUGGGGGUUGGAAAGUUUCGGCGGUUGGGGAUGGACUCGCGGCUUAUCAGCUUGUUGGUGGGGUAGUGGCUUACCAAGGCUUUGACGGGUAGCCGGCCUGAGAGGGUGACCGGCCACAUUGGGACUGAGAUACGGCCCAGACUCCUACGGGAGGCAGCAGUGGGGAAUAUUGCACAAUGGGCGGAAGCCUGAUGCAGCGACGCCGCGUGCGGGAUGACGGCCUUCGGGUUGUAAACCGCUUUCGCCUGUGACGAAGCGUGAGUGACGGUAAUGGGUAAAGAAGCACCGGCUAACUACGUG